UGCAGUCGAACGGUAACAGGUCUUCGGAUGCUGACGAGUGGCGAACGGGUGAGUAAUACAUCGGAACGUGCCCGAGAGUGGGGGAUAACGAAGCGAAAGCUUUGCUAAUACCGCAUACGAUCUCAGGAUGAAAGCAGGGGACCGCAAGGCCUUGCGCUCACGGAGCGGCCGUUGGCAGAUUAGGUAGUUGGUGGGAUAAAAGCUUACCAAGCCGACGAUCUGUAGCUGGUCUGAGAGGACGACCAGCCACACUGGGACUGAGACACGGCCCAGACUCCUACGGGAGGCAGCAGUGGGGAAUUUUGGACAAUGGGCGCAAGCCUGAUCCAGCCAUGCCGCGUGCAGGAUGAAGGCCUUCGGGUUGUAAACUGCUUUUGUACGGAACGAAAAGACUCUGGCUAAUACCUGGGGUCCAUGACGGUACCGUAAGAAUAAGCACCGGCUAACUACGUGCCAGCAGCCGCGGUAAUACGUAGGGUGCGAGCGUUAAUCGGAAUUACUGGGCGUAAAGCGUGCGCAGGCGGUUAUAUAAGACAGAUGUGAAAUCCCCGGGCUCAACCUGGGAACUGCAUUUGUGACUGUAUAGCUAGAGUACGGCAGAGGGGGAUGGAAUUCCGCGUGUAGCAGUGAAAUGCGUAGAUAUGCGGAGGAACACCGAUGGCGAAGGCAAUCCCCUGGGCCUGUACUGACGCUCAUGCAC
rnacentral:rRNA from 1 species